GCUGCAUGUUCUAAAACUUCAAACCUCUAAGCAUAUCUAGUAGAUUGGCGUGAAGGAAGAAGGCUCAAGUGCUAAGAAAACGGAAGGUUCACAAGAUCGAGGCGUGAAGGAAGAAGGCUCAAGUGCUAAGAAAACGGAAGGUUCACAAGAUCGAGGCGUGAAGGAAGAAGGCUCAAGUGCUAAGAAAACGGAAGGUUCACAAGAUCGAGGUAAAUCCUCGACUUAGGCGAUUGGACGGCUUGGAACGUGCACACUUGGUUUACGCCCGCCUCACGCUUCCGUUAUAAAUUACUUUUGAAAUGGGUCAAUUUUGUGGUCGUAUGUACUU